rnacentral:rRNA from 1 species
ACAUCCAGAGAACUUGGCAGGAGAUGCCUUGGUGCCUUCGGGACCUCUGAGACAGGUGCUGCAUGGCUGUCGUCAGCUCGUGUUGUGAAAUGGUUGGGUUAAGUCCCGNAACGAGCGCAACCCCUAUCCUUUGUUGCCAGCGAUUCGGUCGGGAACUCAAAGGAGACUGCCGGUGAUAAACCGGAGGAAGGUGGGGAUGACGUCAAGUCAUCAUGGCCCUUACGAGUAGGGCUACACACGUGCUACAAUGGCGCAUACAAAGAGAAGCGACCUCGCGAGAGCAAGCGGACCUCAUAAAGUGCGUCGUAGUCCGGAUCGGAGUCUGCAACUCGACUCCGUGAAGUCGGAAUCGCUAGUAAUCGUAGAUCAGAAUGCUACGGUGAAUACGUUCCCGGGCCUUGUACACACCGCCCGUCACACCAUGGGAGUGGGUUGCAAAAGAAGUAGAUAGCUUAACCUUCGGGAGGGCGUUUACCACUUUGUGAUUCAUGACUGGGGUGAAGUCGUAACAAGGUAGGCGUAGCGAG